rnacentral:rRNA from 1 species
GGAUGAACGCUGGCGGCGUGCCUAAUACAUGCAAGUCGAGCGAACGGACGAGAAGCUUGCUUCUCUGAUGUUAGCGGCGGACGGGUGAGUAACACGUGGAUAACCUACCUAUAAGACUGGGAUAACUUCGGGAAACCGGAGCUAAUACCGGAUAAUAUUUUGAACCGCAUGGUUCAAAAGUGAAAGACGGUCUUGCUGUCACUUAUAGAUGGAUCCGCGCUGCAUUAGCUAGUUGGUAAGGUAACGGCUUACCAAGGCAACGAUGCAUAGCCGACCUGAGAGGGUGAUCGGCCACACUGGAACUGAGACACGGUCCAGACUCCUACGGUAGGCAGCAGUAGGGAAUCUUCCGCAAUGGGCGAAAGCCUGACGGAGCAACGCCGCGUGAGUGAUGAAGGUCUUCGGAUCGUAAAACUCUGUUAUUAGGGAAGAACAUAUGUGUAAGUAACUGUGCACAUCUUGACGGUACCUAAUCAGAAAGCCACGGCUAACUACGUG